AUAGUUUAUGGUGACUCCGACUCGUAACUCAGUUUCUUUAACUAUUCGUUGAGUAUCAACAGUAUCAACUUUUUGUUGCAGUCAGCACAUUUAAUUUAUUAAGUUAUUUACACUGUUUAAUGAAAGCACUGGGGUUGUGCUUGUGCCGCGUCUCUUGUGAUAUUGAGCAUUGAAUUGAUGCAUUUUCAGGGCUGAAUGUUUUUUAUUGUUGGACAAACCACAGGCAGACGAGGGCACUAAGCGAUAUAGCAGGGAAAGGAAAAUGUCGAGCAUUGGCGACUGGCGACUGGCGACUGGCAACAAUGCCAACACAUUUCACACAAAUAUAAAUAUUUGCCUUUGCCACAUGGAGGCGACAGAGAAACCCAAACAAGCUGGCUGCCAGACAGACACCCUCAUGAAUUUUGCAAGCGAGUCGCACAUGCUGCUUGGCUGCGAGGUUGCGAGAGGGUGGAGCUGGCACAAUUGAACCCCGUUGCGGCUCUGGCUGCUUUUGCUAGAGCAGCGGGAAGUCGUACAAUUAAUAUGUUUACCCGGCGUAUGCGUUAUCCCAAUUUUAAAGCGUCUCUAGAGAUUUGGAUUUAAGUCCAGAUCGAUUCAACAAUCGGCCUACAAUUGUGCUUUGCCACAUUGCAUUAAAUAUAAAAAUGUAUAUAUAUUAGUAA